rnacentral:rRNA from 1 species
UACGGAGGAUCCGAGCGUUAUCCGGAUUUAUUGGGUUUAAAGGGUGCGUAGGCGGCCCGGUAAGUUAGAGGUGAAAGCCCGUGGCUCAACCACGGAAUUGCCUCUGAUACUGUCGGGCUAGAGAAUAGUUGCUGUGGGCGGAAUGUGUAGUGUAGCGGUGAAAUGCUUAGAGAUUACACAGAACACCGAUUGCGAAGGCAGCUCACAAAGCUAUUUCUGACGCUGAGGCACGAAAGCGUGGGGAGCAAACAGGAUUAGAUACCCU